rnacentral:rRNA from 1 species
UACGAAGGGGGCUAGCGUUGCUCGGAAUCACUGGGCGUAAAGGGUGCGUAGGCGGGUCUUUAAGUCAGGGGUGAAAUCCUGGAGCUCAACUCCAGAACUGCCUUUGAUACUGAAGAUCUUGAGUUCGGGAGAGGUGAGUGGAACUGCGAGUGUAGAGGUGAAAUUCGUAGAUAUUCGCAAGAACACCAGUGGCGAAGGCGGCUCACUGGCCCGAUACUGACGCUGAGGCACGAAAGCGUGGGGAGCAAAUAGGG